UCCGGUUUGUCACCGGCAGUCCCAUUAGAGUUCCCAACUAAAUGAUGGCAACUAAUGGCGAGGGUUGCGCUCGUUGCGGGACUUAACCCAACAUCUCACGACACGAGCUGACGACAACCAUGCACCACCUGUGUACCGCCCCGAAGGACACCGUAUCUCUACGGCUUUUCGGUACAUGUCAAGCCCAGGUAAGGUUCUUCGCGUUGCCUCGAAUUAAGCCACAUGCUCCGCCGCUUGUGCGGGCCCCCGUCAAUCCCUUUGAGUUUUAGCCUUGCGGCCGUACUCCCCAGGCGGGGUGCUUAAUGCGUUUGCGACGGCACGGAAGGGGUUGAUGCCUCCCACACCUAGCACCCAACGUUUACGGCUGGGACUAC
rnacentral:misc_RNA from 1 species